rnacentral:rRNA from 1 species
GUCCUGGUGUCCGAAGCGAGAUGGAAACACCCGUUCCCAUCCCGAACACGGCAGUUAAGCAUCUCAGCGCCGAUGAUAGUUGCCCUUUGUGGGUCGCAAAAGUAGGUCGAUGCCAGGACA